GCCGGCUGGCCCACGCCCGCAGCCGGUCUUUGCCAGCCCGAGCCCGGCUCAGUCCCCUGAACGGCCGCCGGCGCUAUCCGUCUGCCCCACAAGAGGUUAAUCUUUGUUGGCGUUGCAGCUUCUUUGUGGCUUCCCAGGACUUGGGAUCCUCGGCUUUGCAAACUUGCCCUUUCCUCGGCCGCUUUGCAGGAGGCUGCGGAGACGAAGAUGAGCGGAAAGUUGGAAACCAGCAAGCAUCACAGGACCGUGUCUUUGGCCUCCUAGCUGUGCAGAGCUCGCGAGGCGGAUGAGGAGGGCUGGUCGGGCUGGGGAGAAAACUUGACGGGGAAUCCAAGUUGUGAUUUGCUCAGGCUUCCACCUGAUUGAUCGGCUUCAAAACCAGUGGGGUCUCUGCCUUCCACUGUUCCACGAUGGCCUUUUGUUUGUCUGGGGCGUGGAGGAGGAGGAAGUGAAUAAUGACUUGCCCUGGACCCCUCCCCUUUUACAGAGUCGCUGCUCAGCUUGGGCGCCACGGACCACUGUCUUUUCAGACCCCCGAGUGCUUCCCCUACCUGCCCUCUGAGCAUCACUUUCUCUCUGGAAGUUAGCGGCUCCCUCAGAUCUGAAGGAGGCCCUGUUGGGCUGGAUUGGGGGGUCAAGAAUCCCUCCCCCUCAUCCCUGUGGUCACUCAGACCUCCCUCAAUUACCCUUUUACACACACACACACACACACACACACACAUUAGCCACUCCUUCCUGCAGAGCAGAAAUUAAUGCCUGCAGAAGUGAAGGAGGUGAGACUCUGAGAACUCCUCAAGAUCUGAGUCAAAAGGUGAUUUUCUAUUUAUGAGGCCACGGGUUUAAGCAGUUCAGUCCCAGGGCAGUAAUGUCAAAAAGCAUUUGGAUGACGACCAAGUGGAAUAAAUAUCUUGUAAAAUGGCAUGUUUAAUAGUAAAAAUAGAUUCAUGGAGCCUUCCAGUGGUAAAUGGGACUCACAUAAAGGUUUAAUUUACGUUUAAAAGGAAAGUUACAUAAGCCUGUAUACACAUUUUCUUUUAAGAAUAGAGAAAACCUAUGAGUAAGUUUGAGAUGUGUUCCUGACAAUAAUAACUGUGCCUGUGAU
rnacentral:lncRNA from 1 species